AUCCUACUUAUUAUGUGUAUGAACUUGAGUUAAAGCACUUCUCCCUAUUUGGGUCUCCCUGUCCUAUGUUAUAAAAUAAGGAGUUUAAUCUCAGUGACCUCUAAGAUUCUCUAACUGGCUAUUAGAAGGCUGUGGGGACCAUUAUCAGGCAUCUGGAGGACUCCUUGUACAACUGUAGAGAUUUCUGGAAUACAAACUCUUCUUCUGGUGAGAGUCACCCAGAACCAGACUAGUCCAUUCCUUCAACAGGAUAUAAACUUCAAGACAAAGGCCCUCCCACUUACGCUGGUCUUAGGAGGGGCCUGGAUUCUGUAGUGCAGCAAGAAAAGUUUGAAAAGCUGAUUGACAUCCCUCAAACCAAGAUUCUACAGAGGUUGUGGGGUCAGGAUUCUAAGACAGUUGGGGGGAACUGACAACUGUCUCACUCAAGCUGGGUGGCCAACUGAGUGGCUGUGUGUCAAAGCGUCUCCUGAAGAAACCAAUUUAGGAGCUGCCGAGGACUUGGAUUAUCUUUUGAAGGUUGAAUGAGGGUUCCCCUCCACUGUGGUGGACAGUUGUGAAUGAUUAUGGACCUCUUCCCUUUCUGAACCUUGUGAAGACCCUACAUCUUGAUCCUGCUGUUUUGACCCAACCAAAGACUCUGGCAUUUAGUCAGAGUGUGGGGAAAACCCAAGCUCUUCUGGAAUUUGAGUCAACAUUCGUCUCGUAAAAGAACUUCUAAAGAGAAUCCUGGAAAAGCUUGUUUGUGAACAAAUGUAGGAUGAAAUGAGCAGAAACAGAAGGAUAACUUAUAUAAUAACAAUGAUAAGGACAAGAACUUUAAAGACUUGGGAAUAUUAAACAAUGUUUUGACCAGCCACAGUUCCAGAAGACUCAUGAUGAAUGCAGACUGAGGCUUUUUUUUUUUGCAAGGAAUCUGUUUCUCUUGACUAUAUAUGUUUGUAACUAGUGUUUAUGGUUGUUUUGGGGGGGGCGCGGCAGAGACAGGUGGAAGAAAGAAAGUGACUUUUCAUUGAUUGAAAAACAUUUGAGAAGAAAAGAGUACACUAUACUAGAUUAUUUGGAAUAGUAUUUCAGAAACACCAAUUUUCCAUUGAAUAGAACCAAGAAGCCUUAGUCAAGAAUUUAGAGUGAUAUUGUAGGACCCCUCUGAGGAAAGAACUUCUUGAGUGUAGUGAACUCCCCAAGAUGACUCAAAGGUCUUGGAAUCUCACCUCAAAUAUAUUAUAACAACCAUAGAUCUUCACUAGUUAUCUGAGAAUACAAUCAUUUUUAUUUUUUUAGCCUUUUAAAUGUUUUUCCAGUUUAUUGUAGAAGCAAUUUUUGACAAUUGUUUUCUGACACUUUGCAAUUGAGAUUCUCUCUCUCCCUCCCUCUUCCCCACUUCCCAGGGUGGUAAAUAGUCUGAUAUAGGUUAUACUAGUGCUUUCAUGUAGUCCAUAUUUGCAAAUUCCCCAUCCCAUAACAAAAGACACACCACAUUUACAAUUUUUGAAAAGACUUAUUAAGGAAAUGAAGUGAAGGAUGGAGUGAUUUGAUCUGCAAUCAGGUUCCAACAGUUCCUUCUUUAGCUGUGGAUUUUUGCUUUUUUGUUUUUAUCAUGAGUCCUUUGGGGUUAUCCUAGAAAUUUGUUCUGCUGAUAAUAGUUUAGCCCUUCACAAUUCAUCAUCAUACAGUAUUUCUGUUACUAUAAAUGGUGUCCUCCUGAGUCUAUUCACUUCACUUUGCAUCAGUUCACAUAAGUCUUUCCAGGUUUUUCUGGACUC